GGUGGCUCAGUGGUGGAGUGCUUGCCUCGCAUGCAUGAAGCCCUGGGUUCGAUUCCUCAGCACCA
rfam:Dipodomys ordii contig_89269, whole genome shotgun sequence.